rnacentral:rRNA from 1 species
GGGUGAGUAACGCGUAAGUAAUCUACCCUGGCAUCUGGAAUAACCCACCGAAAGGUGUGCUAAUACCGGAUACGCUGAUUUAUCAGGAAAGGUGGCCUCUUCAUGAAAGCUACUGUGCCGGGAGGAGCUUGCGUACCAUUAGCUAGUUGGUGGGGUAAUGGCCUACCAAGGCAACGAUGGUUAGCGGGUCUGAGAGGAUGAUCCGCCACACUGGAACUGGAACACGGACCAGACUCCUACGGGAGGCAGCAGUGAGGAAUAUUGCGCAAUGGGGGCAACCCUGACGCAGCGACGCCGCGUGGAUGAUGAAGGCCUUCGGGUCGUAAAAUCCUGUCAGAUGGAAAGAAAUGCCAGAUGUCUAAUAUAUGUCUGGUUUGACGGUACCAUCAAAGGAAGCACCGGCUAACUCCGUGCCAGCAGCCGCGGUAAUACGGAGGGUGCAAGCGUUGUUCGGAAUUACUGGGCGUAAAGCGCGCGUAGGCGGCUAUUUAAGUCAGAUGUGAAAGUCCACGGCUCAACCGUGGAAGUGCAUUUGAUACUGGGUAGCUUGAGUACUGGAGGGGAUGGUGGAAUUCCCGGUGUAGAGGUGAAAUUCGUAGAUAUCGGGAGGAAUACCGGUGGCGAAGGCGACCAUCUGGCCAGAUACUGACGCUGAGGUGCGAAAGCGUG